ensembl:lncRNA
UUAGCUGGCCCUCUUCUCAGGUGUAGAUCACGUAUUAUCAUUUCACCUGUUUUUGAUUCUCUGAUGAGGCAAGUCCCAGGACUUAUCAGCAGGGAUAGGCCUCAUUGCCAAGACAGCUCUGUUCAGUAUUUGGAAGAAAGCCUGACAGGUUUCUCCGGGAAAGUGACCAUCCAUGGAAUGAAUGAAAUGUUCCCUUUCUAUUCCUACCACCAAUAACAUUUUCCCUCGGCCUCAAGAGACACUCACAAAACAAUGGCCCACAGUGCUUUUUAGGACAAGAACUGCAGUUGUGUACUGUGCGUGCAUAGUCCUACGCAGGAGGAAGGCAAUGUUUAAAGCUGCUGUCGCCUCCUGGAAAAAAAAAAAAAAGAAAACUGGGACUCUGAGUCAACGUGGGUCCAAGCCUGUAGCCCCAAAUCGGAUAAUCUCUGCAGCUGAUAACAAGCAAAAGAGAAGCCAGGCAACAGCCAUAUUAAAGAAGAAAACAAUCAACUCUGAGGGGCUGACAGACUGUGGACCCAUCAACUGGCUUCCUUGCCCUCCAGCUUCCAGUAGGCUUCAGCCAAGGAGACAUGGGGAAGAAAUGAAAGGAAGAAGACUAAGAUUGGGUCUUUAUUGGAGUAUUUAUUGCCUUGAUGGAAGAUCCAGCACCUGUUGGGUGACUUUCUCACAGAGAUCUGUGUGCCCUUCCUUUCCCGUGAUCAAAGCACUGAGCCACCUGGAGGACAAAAUGUGAGGAAUCCAAUAAAGCCUCUGAGACAACAUAUGUGGGAAUUUGG